CGGUCCCCACAGACGGCGCCA
rnacentral:siRNA from 1 species